rnacentral:rRNA from 1 species
UUGAACGCUGGCGGCAUGCUUUACACAUGCAAGUCGAACGGUAACAGGUUAAGCUGACGAGUGGCGAACGGGUGAGUAAUGCAUCGGAACGUACCCAGUCGUGGGGGAUAACUACGCGAAAGCGUAGCUAAUACCGCAUACGCCCUGAGGGGGAAAGCGGGGGAUCGCAAGACCUCGCGUGAUUGGAGCGGCCGAUGUCGGAUUAGCUAGUUGGUGGGGUAAAGGCCUACCAAGGCGACGAUCCGUAGCGGGUCUGAGAGGAUGAUCCGCCACACUGGGACUGAGACACGGCCCAGACUCCUACGGGAGGCAGCAGUGGGGAAUUCUGGACAAUGGGCGAAAGCCUGAUCCAGCCAUGCCGCGUGAGUGAAGAAGGCCUUCGGGUUGUAAAGCUCUUUCAGCCGGAAAGAAAUCGCGCAGGCUAAUACUCUGCGUGGAUGACGGUACCGGAAGAAGAAGCACCGGCUAACUACGU